AUUGAACGCUGGCGGCAGGCUUAACACAUGCAAGUCGAGCGGGGGAAGGUAGCUUGCUACCGGACCUAGCGGCGGACGGGUGAGUAAUGCUUAGGAAUCUGCCUAUUAGAGGGGGACAACAUCUCGAAAGGGAUGAUAAUACCGCAUACGUCCUACGGGAGAAAGCAGGGGAUCUUCGGACCUUGCGCUAAUAGAUGAGCCUAAGUCGGCUUAGCUAGUUGGUGGGGUAAAGGGCUACCAAGGCGAUGAUCUGUAGCGGGUCUGAGAGGAGGAGCCGCCACACGGGGACAGAGACACGGCCCAGACUCAGACAGGAGGUGGCAGUGGGGAAGAUUGGACAAUGGAGGGAACCCUGAUCCAGCCAUGCCGCGUGUGGGAAGAAGGCCUUAUGGUUGUAAAGCACUUUAUGCGAGGAGGAGGCUACUUUAGUUAAUACCUUGAGAUAGUGGACGUUACUCGCAGAAUAAGCACCGGCUAACUCUGUGCCAGCCGCCGCGGUAA
rnacentral:rRNA from 1 species